rnacentral:snRNA from 1 species
GUGCUCACUUUGGCAGCACAUAUAUUAAAAUUGGAACGAUACAGAGAAGAUUAGCCUGGCCCCUGUGCAAGAACGACACACGCAAAUUGGGGAAGCAUCCAACAUUUUA